AGUGAACGCUGGCGGUAGGCCUAACACAUGCAAGUCGAACGGCAGCACAGGAGAGCUUGCUCUCUGGGUGGCGAGUGGCGGACGGGUGAGGAAUACAUCGGAAUCUACUUUUUCGUGGGGGAUAACGUAGGGAAACUUACGCUAAUACCGCAUACGACCUACGGGUGAAAGCAGGGGAUCUUCGGACCUUGCGCGAUUGAAUGAGCCGAUGUCGGAUUAGCUAGUUGGCGGGGUAAAGGCCCACCUAGGCGACGAUCCGUAGCUGGUCUGAGAGGAUGAUCAGCCACACUGGAACUGAGACACGGUCCAGACUCCUACGAGAGGCAGCAGUGGGGAAUAUUGGACAAUGGGCGCAAGCCUGAUCCAGCCAUACCGCGUGGGUGAAGAAGGCCUUCGGGUUGUAAAGCCCUUUUGUUGGGAAAGAAAUCCAGCUGGUUAAUACCCGGUUGGGAUGACGGUACCCAAAGAAUAAGCACCGGCUAACUUCGUGCCAGCCGCCGCUGUAA
rnacentral:rRNA from 1 species